rnacentral:rRNA from 1 species
CACGUAGGGCGCGAGCGUUGUCCGGAAUUAUUGGGCGUAAAGAGCUCGUAGGCGGCCUGUUGCGUCCGCUGUGAAAGCCCGGGGCUUAACCCCGGGUCUGCAGUGGAUACGGGCAGGCUAGAGGUAGGUAGGGGAGAAUGGAAUUCUCGGUGUAGCAGUGAAAUGCGUAGAUAUCGAGAGGAACACCAGUGGCGAAGGCGAGUCCCUGGACACUUCCUGACACUGAGGCACGAAAGCUAGGGGAGCAAACAGG